UUCCAAACGGUAUGGCGAGCACUGCGCAUGCGGGAAACCCACCCUGUAAGGGAAGAAUCCUGGGAAAGAGGCAAGCCUAUGAAGUCCCAGGAUCAAGGUGGGACCAUCUAGUUGCAGGAAAACAAGCUGAGUGAGGAUUCCCACUGAUUCUAUACUAUGGUCAUACCAAUCACCUCUGAGAAGCCCAAUCACUACAACCACUAACCACAACAUAAAUCAACGUGAGGACCUGAGAGCUCGCUUGCUCCCACUCUGUCCCUAGCCCAGCCUGGUUUUUCCAUCACAUGCUUCUUAGGCAGCAGGGAGCUGAGGCAGGGGGAACAUUUAGUUCCUUUUUCAAAGACUGGGAACACUUAAAAAUAUCUCCAAGUAAGCAACCAGCAUUCAGAGGAUGCUUAUUUACACUUUGUAGGAGCCUGGUGUUGGGACUCUGGCUCCUGGAUGGCGUCAAACCUGCCCUUGGGCUUGGCCGAGGCUGGUCUGGGAGUACCAUUUGCAAAUGGCUCUUGCUUCACGGUUGCAUCUCCAUCUGGGUAAACAACCUAGCGACAGCGCUGGCUCUUCUUAAGGCUGUCUGUUAUGGACUGAACUGUGUCCCUCUCAGAUUCACUUGUUAAAGUCCUGACCCCAGUACACCUCAGAAUGUGACUGUAUAUAGAAAUAGGGCAUGUAAAGCAGUCAUGACGGUUAAGUAAGGUCAUAUGGAUUGGCUCUAGUUCAAACGUGACUGGUAUCCUUCUAAGAAGAGGAAGAGACACCAGAGCUCACUCUCUUUCCACGCACACAAUGGCCAUGUGAGCACACUGUGAGAAGAUGCCAUCCGCAAGCCAAGAAGAGAGGCCUUGGGAGAAACCAAACCUGCUGUCACCUUGAUCUUGGACUUCCAGCCUCAAGAACUGUGAGAAAAUAAAUUUCUGCUGUUUAUUCCACCCA
rnacentral:lncRNA from 1 species